CUUUCCUGUUGUUGAGCACACCACAAGGAGGUCAUGCCCCAGACAGCUGCUGUCCCUUCCGGGUGGGUCCGGACGAGACGUGGAGAAACCUGAGCCCAGCCUGGGGUCUGGGGCUCCUGACCCACAGCCUGAGGCCACGCUGUCCAGUCAACCCACUGAGCCAGGUCAUUUCUCGUGGUGACUGGAGAAAGCUCUCUACAGAAACGCCUGUCAUCCAUGCCUUCACCUACGCGAGAGCAUCCUCUGCUCCCUAGACCACACCAGGACAGUUCUGCACGGACCUAAGGAGCUCACAGCCCAGCCCCCUCCCCGGGGAAAUCUCUGCACUCCGGACUGGUAAUUUCCAGGGCAUGGUCUGCCUUUCUCAGCUUCGUGGGAAGCACCUUUGGUUCAGCCUCGCUGGUGAGGGUGGAGGCUGCCUCCCGUCCCCUCCUUGUUCACCAGCAGGCGUCAGCAGGGCUGCUAUUGGACCCCUUUAGACCAAGGCGCAACCUGGCUCCUCUGUUCUCAACAGGAUCAGAAAUGUCACGCAGGUCGUAUCUGGAGUGGUUCUCUUUUUCCCUUUUGUGGAGGGUUAGAGUGGUAUUCACACCUAGGCACGUCUACGUCUGAAAUCUGUGAUAGACUGAAUGUGUCUCCCUCCCAAAUUCAAGUGCUAACCCUCGGACCCCAGAAUGUGAUUGCAUUUGGAGACAGGGCCUUUAAGGAGGUGAUCGAGUUAAAUGAGGUCAUAUGUGUCCCCUAAUCCAUCGUGACUGGUCCUUAUUAGAGGAGAUGAGGACACUGACACAUGGGACGACGGCCACAGGAGGACACAGGGGAAGACGGCUGUCUACACAGCAAGGAGAGAGUCUGCAGGGGACACCAGUCCCGCCAAUACCUUGACCCUGGACUUCCAGCCUCCAGGACUGAGAGAGAACAGCUGAACAGAUUCAGAGGUCCACUACGUGGCACGUAGCAGCCAUUCAUUCACUCACUGUGCCUGCUCCCUUGAGCCUGGCUGUAAUCUGGCUGAUAACAUUCAUUCAUUCAUUCAUUCAUUCAUUCAUCAGGUAUUUCCUGUGGGCCUACCAUGUGCCAGGCAUGGGCUAGGUUGGUUCUGGGGUAAAAAUGGUCCUUUGCCCAAGCUACUGAUGGAAUCACAGAGACGAUGGGGAAAAUCAGUGAGUAAACAAGCUGAAGACGGAAGGCAGAGACUCGGAGCAGAGCCCGACCAUUCUGCUGGUGUGGGGAGAGGGUGGAAGCCUUGUCCAGGGAGGUGGAGAGGCCACAGCAGGAGAAGCAUGCCCAGGCUGAGACCAGAAGGAUGAGAGGGACCAGAAGGAGGAAGAGCUGGACUGGGACAGGGUGAGGUUGUGGUCGGCUUAAGUGGCUGCCAGUGGCUCAGUUCAUCUGCAGAAAGCAGCAGGGAGAAGGGUGAAAGGAGACUGGGGAUGGAGAAUCAGGGCCACCCCUUACAACCCUGUCUUAGGGUGUGGCCUUGGUCCACGGGGAGCAGGAAGUCAGGAGCGGUGUCAGGCAGGAGGGCAGUGGGCGUAGGUUCCUUGUGACCUGUGAGCAGAGAGGGGCUGAAAGCCGGGCCUGGUCCAUGCUAAGGGGUGCGAAGGGGAGAGCAUUUUCCACCAGGGCUCAGGUGGUGUCAUCAGGGAUGGGGCAGGGGCAGCGGCAGGGCCCUGAGAGCUGUGCCACUUCGUGAUGCCACUGCGACCCUUGCCACUGUGUUUCAGGGGUGCAAUGCUGCAGGUGAAAUUGAUGCAGACCCAGGCUUCAGACCUGUUCUCCUAGACUGCAGUGGUGCGAUGACAGCUCACUGCAGCCUUGACCUCUGGGUUCAAGAGAUCCUCCUGCCUCAGCCUCCCAAGUAGCUGGCACACGCCACCACACCUGGCUAUUUUCUUUUAAUUUUUUAUUUGUUUGUAGGGACAGGGUCUCACCAUGUUGCCCAGGCUGGUCUCCAACUCCUGGGCUCAAGCGAAUCUCCCACUUCAGCCUCCCACAGUGCUGGGAUUACAGGUGUGAGCCACCAUGCCUGGCCUAGUUUGGGUAACUUUGAGUCACCUGAAGAGUCAGCCUCAGCCCCAGAGGGUUCUCCCUUCCCCAGGGUGCUGUGUUUGCAUGGGAGCACAGAACCAUUGCCCCUGCAGGGCUUUUCAGUGGAACCGAGUGUCCCCACACGAGCUUUGUCUCCGGAUGCACACGAGGAGAUUCUGCAGCACAGUGGAGCCGAUUAAGCCAUUACAGCUUUCCAGAGGGAAAAGAAAAUUUAGGACGUGUAGAAACUAAGUCUUUGCCCACAAUCAAGUUUCCAUUCAAAUUAUGAGAAGGAAGUGAUUGAAUGAGAAUGAGAUGACCUUCCCCUUCCCCCAUGGAUUUUCCUCCCUCUGGCUCUCUCUGCUCCUGACACGAGCACUGCACCAAGGCGACAGCCCUGGGCACCCAGGCUGACUCCUGCACUCGGGCACGGACCUCACGGCUGGGCUGACUCCCGCACUCGGGCGCUGAGCUCAUGGCCGGUUCUGAAGAACUCUGGUUCUGCUCAUGCCCCACAUCAAAAUGGCCAAGUCUUCAGAUUUGGGAUUUCCCAAGCCAAAAGUAUUUUCAUAGAAUUGUAUUUCAAUAUUUACAUUAUCUUUAAAGAAAGUCCAGCUAAAAAUCAAAAAUAAAUAAAAAUGUAAAAAAUAAAACAAUCCCAGAGAGAAGUGGGGUCUACUUGAAUGCAAUGCAACAUGAAGUGGACAUCU
rnacentral:lncRNA from 1 species